AACGAACGCUGGCGGCGUGCCUAACACAUGCAAGUCGAGCGAGAAAGCCCGCAAGGGUGAGUAAAGCGGCGCACGGGUGCGUAACACGUGGGUAAUCUGCCCUGAAGUCCGGAAUAACUCGCCGAAAGGCGUGCUAAUGCCGGAUAAGACCACGGGAGCCUCGGCUCCUGCGGGAAAAGGUGGCCUCUGUACACAAGCUAUCACUUCAGGAUGAGCCCGCGGCCCAUCAGCUCGUUGGCGGGGUAAUGGCCCACCAAGGCUACGACGGGUAGCUGGUCUGAGAGGACGAUCAGCCACACUGGAACUGAGACACGGUCCAGACUCCUACGGGAGGCAGCAGUGGGGAAUCUUGCGCAAUGGGCGAAAGCCUGACGCAGCAACGCCGCGUGUGUGAUGAAGGUCUUCGGAUCGUAAAGCACUGUCGCGAGGGACGAAUAAGGGGCGGGCUAACAUCCCGUUCCGAUGACGGUACCUCGAGAGGAAGCACCGGCUAACUCUGUGCCAGCAGCCGCGGUAAUACAGAGGGUGCAAGCGUUGUUCGGAAUUAUUGGGCGUAAAGCGCGUGUAGGCGGCUUUGUAAGUUGGGUGUGAAAGCCCUCGGCUUAACCGAGGAAGUGCGCCCAAAACUGCAUGGCUUGAGUACCGGAGAGGGUGGCGGAAUUCCCGGUGUAGAGGUGAAAUUCGUAGAUAUCGGGAGGAACACCAGCGGCGAAGGCGGCCACCUGGACGGAUACUGACGCUGAGACGCGAAAGCGUGGGGAGCAAACAGGAUUAGAUACCCUGGUAGUCCACGCCGUAAACGAUGAGCGCUAGGUGUUGUGGGUGUUGACCCCUGCAGUGCCGCAGCUAACGCAUUAAGCGCUCCGCCUGGGAAGUACGGCCGCAAGGCUAA
rnacentral:rRNA from 1 species